rnacentral:lncRNA from 1 species
AUAUGAGAAAAUGGAACUGAGAGACCCUGCGAAGGAGGAGAUCCCUGAGAAAAAGCGCAACACCAGCCAGAAGCUCAGCCUCGGAUACCUGCACAUGGCCGUCAGACAGAAGGCUGCUCUUCAUUAACAUCCGUCGUUGCCGUCAUCCUCCCUACGGCUUCUCCUGUAAGAAGAUGUGGAAGAAGAGAAACUGAGCACAAAGCUGCCACCAUAUGUGCAAAAACCCCUGCAGAAUAAAAAGUCCUGCUCAG